GUUUGUUGCCUGUGCUGAGAAGGUGGAGUCAGUGCUGUGAGGAGCUGCUCAUGAGAAACCACUGAGAAGCCACUCAACCUUUGGGAGGUGGAAACUCGUGAUUUCCUACAGCUAUUUCUCUGAAUAAAGCCACUCCACUUUCAACUGUUUCGUGCUUGUUUUGCAGGAGUAUGCAGCAGAUGCUCAAAGGCAGAUUUUCAAGAUGAGCAAGUAAAGCUUUGCUGUAACUCAUUAUACAGUUCUCUGACCCUGGAAUGCACUGCAGCACAAUGUGAUGUGUCUUCAUCCUGAAGGUGUGAAGAACCCCUUAAUCAAUCAGACUUCAGUACACAGAAACAUGAGAAACUGCAACCUAUUCGGUUUGGUUAGACAAUUUGUCACAUAUCUAAAUACCUUUCACAGUCUUUAUGGCAGAAGUGGCAGCAUCACAUCUCAAGCAUCAGCUGAACAUGGAAUUCAAGUGCAUUCUUGAAGGACCAGUGCAUGUUCAGAAAAAAUAAAGAAUGACUAUGAACAUUCAGAUGUUUGCUUUUUAAUUUGCAGUGGUUGUUUAUAUGCACAUCAGGGAGCUAGAAAUUGUAAGGUAUGGGCGUUCAGAAUGAAACUUUU